rnacentral:tRNA from 1 species
GGAGCGGUAGUUCAGUUGGUUAGAAUACCGGCCUGUCACGCCGGGGGUCGCGGGUUCGAGUCCCGUCCCGCUCCGCCA